GUCCCUGUAGCUCAGUGGAAAGAGCGGCCGCCUUCUAAGCGGCGGGUCGGGGGUUCGAAUCCCUCCAGGGACGCCA
rnacentral:tRNA from 1 species